rnacentral:rRNA from 1 species
AUUGAACGCUGGCGGCAUGCCUUACACAUGCAAGUCGAACGGUAACGGGCCUUCGGGUGCCGACGAGUGGCGAACGGGUGAGUAAUGCAUCGGAACGUACCUUUCAGUGGGGGAUAACGUAGCGAAAGUUACGCUAAUACCGCAUAUUCUGUGAGCAGGAAAGCAGGGGAUCGCAAGACCUUGCGCUGAUUGAGCGGCCGAUGUCAGAUUAGCUAGUUGGUGAGGUAAAGGCUCACCAAGGCGACGAUCUGCAGCGGGUCUGAGAGGAUGAUCCGCCACACUGGAACUGAGACACGGUCCAGACUCCUACGGGAGGCAGCAGUGGGGAAUUUUGGACAAUGGGCGCAAGCCUGAUCCAGCCAUGCCGCGUGAGUGAAGAAGGCCUUC